AAUAUUGCGCAAUGGUCGAAAGACUGACGCAGCGACGCCGCGUGGAGGAUGAAGCCCUUCGGGGUGUAAACUCCUGUUGCUCGGGACGAAUGCCCCUUUCGAGGGGAUUGACGGUACCGAGUGAGGAAGCCCCGGCUAACUUCGUGCCAGCAGCCGCGGUAAUACGAAGGGGGCUAGCGUUGUUCGGAAUUACUGGGCGUAAAGGGCGCGUAGGCGGUGCUUCAAGUCAGGCGUGAAAGCCCCGGGCUCAACCUGGGAACCGCGCUUGAGACUGGAGGACUAGAGUUCGGGAGAGGAUGGUGGAAUUCCCAGUGUAGAGGUGAAAUUCGUAGAUAUUGGGAAGAACACCGAUGGCGAAGGCAGCCAUCUGGACCGACACUGACGCUGAGGCGCGAAAGCGUGGGGAGCAAAC
rnacentral:rRNA from 1 species